GCAAGCCAGUGAAAGUGUACAGAGGCAAUAAAGACCCGGUGAGUGCACUGUCCUUCUGGUGUUGCUCUUCAUGGAAAAUCAAGGAAGAGGCAGCUUUAGCCUGCACCCCUCUCCUGACACGGUCACAAUGGUGGAGAAUGAUGU